CUCAGUCGCAGCGGCGACCCCUGAGACCAUGGUAGGUACACCACUGCACUCAGAUAUUUUUCAAACCAUGCUAAAAUGGUUUAACCCCUUAAGGACCAAACUUCUGGAAUAAAAGGGAAUCAUGACAUGUCACACAUGUCAUGUGUCCUUAAGGGGUUAAAAGAUUACACUGGAAAAGCACAAGGGCACUCCUGCCAUAUAUACUAUAGUGGGCUCUAGCUGUUAUGGUAAAUGGAGUGCAGGGCCGCCAUCAGAAAUUUUGGGGUCCCUAACACAGCUCAAGGUCUGGGCCCUGCCUCCAAGCCUCCCCAGGGUCUGCCUCUAAAACCCAGUGUGCGUUUGUGUAUUGGUUGCAGUGUUAAUGCAUGUGUAGCGGAUGCAAUGCGUGUAUGUAUGUAUGUAUACACACACACACAAUUUGUGCUUGAAUGUAAGCAUGUUUUUGUAUGGGGUAUGUGUGUGAAUCUUGGUGUUUGAAUGCAGGUGUGCAUUUGUGUGUAGUGUAUACACUUCCAUACAAUACUCAGACACAUACACUCACACACAUGCAAAUACACAGACACACAUAUACACACACUGACACACAUAUAUACACACGCACACAUACCCACACAAACAUGCACAAGCACUCAAACAUUGACACAGAAUACAUACACAGGCACAAACUUGGAUACACACAUUGAUACAAAAGGACACCGAUACACACACACACACACAAAGAUACACACAUACUGAAACAGACAUACACACAUACAUGUAUACAUUCUGACACACACAUACUGAAACAGACAUACACACAUAUACAGACACACAGACAUACAUAGCGGCACACAGACACAUACUAACCUGCAUACAGACACACAUAUGCAUAAGGACAUACAGGCACACACACACACACACACACACACACACACAAAUACAUACAUACAUAUUGACAUACAUACUGACAUACAGAUAGAUACAUACAUACUGACAUACAUACAUACAUAUACAUACUGACAUAUAUACAUACAUACACAAAUACAGACAUACUGACAUACAAACACACACAUACAUACAGAAACACACACAGACACUUUAUGUUUCUUACUGUAAGUAACCCUUUCCUCCAUUUGUUUUUCGGAUGAAAUUUGGUAAAAAAUAAUUAGUUUUCGUCCAUUACGAAAAUAGCACUGCACAUGCGCCCCCCCAAAAAAAGCAAGGAAGGGAGCCGGUAGCGCUAUCAGCUCCUUCCUUGUAAUAAAUAUUAACAAUUCCUACCACCCGGCAUUAAAACCUAUGGGGGUCACUAUAACACCCAUAUUAAUAAAAGGGAGGUUAAAUCCUCCCACAUGCCCCUUCUCACGGCAUGCUGUUGCUCGCUGUCAUUUAAAACUACUAAUUGCUGCCCAGUCGCUAGUGCAAUAAGGGGGUGAAAAGAAUAUGAUUCUGUGACCGGAUCAUACCAUUAUGCAUGGGCACAAAGCACCUGCAACUAAAUGUAUAUCCAUAUCUCAGAUUCAAUACACCAGUGAGACACUCCAGGGGUAUCUCGGGGCUUGACCCCAGAUAGAUCAAAAUAAAAAAAUGUAAGACCAACAUGUUCUCACAAUAAAGAUAUAGGGCCCAUCGGGUGACCCUAAAUGCUUGGGCCACCCGAUGGGCCCCAUCAGAGUGCGGGCCCUGGUGCAGCUGCACUGGCAGCAGUUCUGCUGCUACACAUGGGCCCGGCCCGCCGGGUCCCCCAGGACCACCAGGCCCCCCAAGCCAGUGACAAACGGCAUGGUUGUCACCCCCUGAUUCCAUUAAAGUUCAUAUGCUUUUCAACAUUUUACUCUGCUGCCCAGUGUAUGCACAUGGAAAUCUCAAAUUGCAUUCUUUUCCUUAAAAGUUGUUUCAUUUAUUGUCAGUUUCCAUAUAUCAGAGUUUACAAUUACAUUUUUGAGAGGGCCUGUUUUGAGAGGUUUGUUAUCUAUGUGAAAUUUGUUCCCACAUCCUUUGCAUCAUCAAAGUUUCCAUCACUUGUGUGACAUUAGGGAUGUUUUUUGAUUUCCAAUUUCUUGUGACUACUUUUUUAGUGGCUACAAAGAGAUGACAGUGCAUACAUUUCCAGGAUUUCAGGAGUGUUUGUGGGAAUAUGUGCAGUAGCCCAGGGGAUGGGUGGAAUAUGUGUGUUGACUAUUCGAGAGGCUAAAAGGAAGAUUUCCUUCUAGAGCAGUUCCAGAAAGGAACAAUUCAUCCAGAUAUGGGUUUAGAUUCCCCUUCCAUUGCACCCUCACCAUCAUCUCCCAUCCUGAAAGUUGAAGAUCUGGACAUAUUUCCGGUACCAGGUACCAUCUCAUUACCAGUUUAUAUUGUAGUUCUAAAUUAAAUGUGCAGUGUAUAAACCCUCUCAACAUGUCAGCUGCUUACUUCUACACCUCCUAAUAUAUUUUGUUUUAAUCCCUAUGCCCUUAUCCCACAUUUAGAACAUGAUUCUGGGCACUUCUGUGAUUUUGUAACAUAUUGCUAAGCUCUUUUUGGCCAGGACAUGUUUGGAUAUCAGUGGGGUGAAGUCAGACACCACUAGAUCUGAACCUUUCACCUCCUAUUUGUGUUUCCAAAGGAAAAGAUGAAUAGGUAGGUAUUUUAAAAAAAGAUUAGUUAGAAAGGUUAUCCUUGGUUGGUAUACCUAGGAAUAGGAGUAGCCUUUCCCACUGAUGUCUCCAAAGGUAUGUAAGACCCCUUUCUCCAUGAACAAAAAAAUAACAAAGUUACAUGCAUCUCUAAAUAUUCUAAGGGAAUAUCUUCAGAAGGGUUUGUGAGUAAAGGGUGGUUUCUCAGCAAUCCAUCCAAUAUAGAUCUACUCAUUGUAAGAAGAAGAUUUAUCAGAAAUUUAUAGAAAAAUGGGGGUAUGUUAUCACCAGAAGAGAAGUCCUAAAGUGCAUAGUGUAAUCUUUGUAAUCUAUCUAAAUAGACAAAAUAGUCAAGUCUAGAGUAGGUGUUGAACCUUUUUUUUGCUUCUCCAGCAAGUGCCUGUAUUUGUUUACUUUGUGAAUUAGGUCUUCUAAAGUAGUGGGAUGGAUGUUGAGCAGAGGUGUCAUGAGGAGGGUUGGCUAUCAUGUUCCCAUUCUAUCAAGUCCCCACAAAAAAAAAAUAUUCUAUCUUGUGUAUCAUCUUUGUGGAAUAGUUUUUGAAGGAAGGCUAUUUGUUGUGUGUUUGGGGCAUAUACAUUAACUAAGGUGUAUUGAACCUUAUAGUUUCCCUUGUUGAUGGAGUGUUUUUAGCGUAAGCAAAAUUAUACAGAUUUAUGGAUCAGGAUGGAUCCCCUCUAGUCGUGGAUAGGGCCAUGGAGUGAUAUCCCAAGGGAUAUUGUGGGAUAUGAAAGUACGGAUGUUUAACUUUGGAGAAGUGGGUUUCCUGUAAGCAUAGUUGGUGCACUUUAACUUUGGAGGCUUCUCUGUUCAUGUCUCUUCCCAUUAAUAGAUAGCUCUAGAGUCUAACACUAGCUAUAGAUAGCUCUAGAGUCUAGACCUAUGAUGUAUUAUGCAGCAUAAAGGGGAGUAAUGGAAUCCCAAAAAUGGGACCCCAGUCUUGCUAAGAGUGAGUGUUUAUGUGUUCGGUCUCUCGGAAGAGAUUUCCCAGUACCAGUAAUUUGGUCCUUACACAAAGGCAGUUGUAGACAUGCAACACAAAAACAUAACAAACUAUUUAGAGUUGAUAUAAACCCAAAGAAAUGAUUGAUCACUAUUGGCAAUAAUGAGCAAUAAUUGUUCAACCUAAGAUAUGGGAGAGGAGUGAGUUCCUUUCAUAGGACAUUAUAUAUAUGUUUUGACAAUACAACUUGCGGCCCAAUUGGACACACAUUAGGGAUUACUUAUUAACUUUACUCAAGGUUCCCUUCCCUUGUCAAAGUUCCUCACAAUGUUUUUUUUUGUUUAUUUUGUUAUUAAAUAUAUAUUAAAACUAAUACUCUAUUGUGUAACUGUGGGAUCAACUGUUAAGCUAGAAAAUCAAAGGUUUAUAAAUUGUUAUAUAGGUGACAUUGAGAUGUUAUGCAAAGGGUUGUACCCUUCAUGCCACUUAUAUUAUACUAUAUCCUUUCCCAAUAAGGUAUGCAUGUGGUACGGACAUUUUUAAGUAUCCCCUGUCACACAGACAGCGCAGCCUCACAUAGUCAUUUGGUACCGCACAAACAUUGUUGUUAGUAAAUGUGAAGUAUUAUCCAAUAAAAGUGGUGUUUAAAGUCAUGAGACAUGUGAGUAAAAGGAUACACAACACAGCACAAAAUCAACUGGACCAUAGCUUAUAUGGAUGGAAUAUUCUCUCAGUUCAUGGGCGUUAAUUUCAAUCUGGGGCUACAUGACAAGGAGAGGUCAUCUACUCUGGCCUCCACCUCCUCUGUUCUGUUCCCUAUGUCCAGAAUUUCCUUUUACCUCUUCAGUUAAUGCUUUUAUGUCAGCCCUGAUGCCUGCUAUAAAUUAUUACAGGAGUUCCCUGAUGUUUGAAAUAAUGUAGUGCUUAGUUGUCUGAACUGGGGUCAAGGCUCAUAAGGAUGUACUAGUGCCCUCUGAUUUGGCAGCAUUGGCAAUCUUGGCUUUAGUGUCCGUACACUGCAGGUUAAUUUGCCUCGCGUUUGGGAUCUCCAGUGCUUGCCUGUUGUUCGUUGUAUCUUGUAUGGGAGGGUAGAAUGGGUAGAGUACGAGAGGGUAGUAUGGGUCGAGUAUGGGAGGGUAGUAUUUCAUGUUUGCAGCAUUGUGCAGUGCAGGAGCUCUCACAAAGCAUGUCUGCUCCCAUUGGCUGUUGACCCCUCCCCCUCAAUUUGCAUUUUUUUACAGUAUGACAUUGGUGGCAUUUGUCUAGUCCUUGAACUUGAACUCCUAGAACUUGAUCAUGUUUACCCCUGAAGAAUUUUUUUUCAUGGAAGAUUAUGCCUUGUUCAGGGAUGUAAAAACAUUCACAUGUUUAUUCAGCUCUUUCAUGAAGGCUUCCCAGAAGAGCUUGCCCUGUGCCUGAGGGCCUGAGUUUUUAAGUGCAUAAGUCUGCCAGUUUUCCGUCAAUGUGUAAGAGUGCUGCUUUGCAUCUCUCCAAAGAGAGUGCUCCAUUUGUGUUUCCCAGGAAAUAGAACCACCUUUGUGCCCACUCAAAGGUGUUGUGCGCCCAUUUGUGUACCAUGUUCACAUCAAAUAACUCGGUUUAAGAAUGGGCACCAUCCAUCAGACACAUUAUGCGUGUGAGGGGCCCAACCACAUCCAGGAGCUUGUCCUGCGCACCGUUGAAACCUCUUUCAACACCUUUACACCCCUUUACGUGGUUCCCAGCCUUAACUUGCCAUUAAUGUCAACAUCAGCUGGUCAAAUUAUGGUGUCGGGGCAAUGAAGACCGCCGGACAACGGUUGCGGACCUUCUUCCACAGUGGAUUCCUUAGCUACAUGUACAUAAAUUUCAAGAGGAGGUCAGGUGGUGUCCAAUCCCCAGAGCAGUGGUGGCUUAUAUUGCGUGGGUUCAACAUGCCCGUAGCACUUAAAACGUCCUCCGCAUCCACCUGGGAAGAUGCCAAAAAGUCAGACCUCACUGUGGAGCCCCAAGCAUAAUCGUUCAAUCCAGAAGCAUUUGCUAGUCACUCAUCAAGUAUUGAGAGCGACGUGGGUAAGUUGUUGUCCUUGUCCAAGGAGUCACCGUGUGGCAGGAGUUGCGCAGGUGGGGCUGCAUGCAGCUUGCCACAUAUAAAGGGCUUUUUCCCUUGGCUUUUAGUUGCUGUGAACACUCAUCGGAUUCAGUCCUAUAGUGGGCAUGCUUGGUGGUAAAGGCAACUUUAGCAGGGUCAGAGCUUGUCGAGAACACCUUCGAAAGUGUCUUUUCUACUGACACAGCCAUUGCUGCAUUGAUCAUGGCCUGGUAAUAUACUGGACUAUUUUGUGAGUCCUCCAUAUUUAAUUACAAUCACAAGCCACUGGGGCUCACCUAAUGUAUAAAGUACCACAAGGGCAAUUGUAUGUAGUCAGACAGACCUCAGCAAUACUUAUUAGGCACUAAGGGCAGUUUUUGGCACAGGACCAGGUGCAGGCAAAAGUGUAUGGACAGUUUGGCAGUAUAAAACCCGGAACAGUAGAAAACCCGGCACAGUAAGAACAGGUCGUAUAACAAUGGUGCUCAAACAACUAGGUGUUCCAAUUUUAGUACAUGUGCUGUCAAAGUGAGCACCAGCAGGAGCAGUGAUGCAGGCAGGCACUGUGUGAAGGAGAAGUCAGCCCCCUAAUUAUGGCACUCGCAACCACACGGGUGCCCCUAUAUGGCCACCAUAUAGAUGCAAGAUCCAAGAUGGCUGCCGGAAACCACCAAUGAUUCCAAAAAAUUAACGAGUGGCGUGCGGCGAUACUACGGCCUUGCCCACCAGGAAGGGGAGAAACUAAUACCACAACCCAGAGGGAAAUUAAUACACCAGAGCCUGCCAGGAACAUUGGCACAUUGCAACAGAAGUGGGAGACUGCCAGUGAAAAGGGAAAAAACUUAUUGGGCCAGGCAGAGAGUGCCAGGAAAGGUACAAAUAAGCCCAGAGCCUGUCAGAAAAAUGAGAAAAACGGUAAUGGGGCAGAUGGAACCUGCAAAAAGGACUGCAAAAUACAUUUUAAAAGACUCCGUUUGGUUGGGUUCCCUCUGCUGUUCGGGAAGCGAACAGAUCCACUAACUAAAGACCACCCCGAAGCUUGUUAAACAUUAUUGACACCUUGGAACGGUUCUGCCAGCAGUGUUCUAAGUGUUCGUCUGGAUGGCUGCCGUUUGUAUGCCCAAACACGUGGUGGCGGCCAUCUUGUUCCCGCAAACGCAGGCAGCAGUGUUUGGUCGUCGAGUGCAUGGAACUGAAAUCAGACACUCGACCUCGCGAACAACACUGAAAUUCAAUCCCGCCUGCGUUCGGUACUUUACAACCUGGAAGUGCGUUGUUUGGUGUAAUUGUUCAUAUGAAUGAGGUGAACAAGCUCCAUGUUAUACUUAUGGAUUACGUUCGGUAUUUUGACUGGCAAAAGCACAAAACGCCCUGGAACUGUUUUGGGCAUAGGAUGUGUGUGGCUGGUCAGAACUUCCACACGGUGGCAUUUCACCUACACUGCCUGGAUCUGAGCGCUAUUUGGAGAACUUGGGCGCUCAGAUAAGGGCUAUUUGACGAUAUACAACUUGUGGGGGUCCCUAUCUGUAUUAUAUGCAUUUUUACGUGUUUUUUUAUAUUUUAUGUUUUACAGUGACACUGUAUUUCUUGGACAUGUUAUGGGUGUGUUUAUGGGUGUGUUUAUAGAUGUGUUUUGGGCGUGUCACUGUGCUCAGGGUUUUGUAUAUAAGUGAGCCAUUUGGCUGGAAAUAAACAGACUACCCCAGCAUUCAGUCUCGACUAAUGUCUGUAGGGGAAAGCUAUACUUGCUAUAAUCACUUACUAUACAGCUAAACUCUCUUGGAGGAGAGGUCUUCCCACUAGGAGCUAGAUCCAGGUGUUGGUCCAGGGUGGGAAGGGACGGCAAAACCCUAGCCAAGCUGCAGUGGCUAAGGGGACUAUGGAGCUUAUGGUGUCUGGUGCAGUGCUUAUGGUACUCGGCGACAACUAUGAAGCACAAUUGGCGGAGGUACCCAGUCAGGUUGCCAGACGGUCUGCCACAAUGGCUCAUAUGAACCCUUUCAGAGUUUCGUCAAGUCGAAGUAUGUGAAAUAACUAAGGCUUUUACUUGCAUUGCCUUCUACAAAGAACUGAUAUAAUGACCUCUUGUAAUGACUACAGAAUAUUUGACUCAUUGGUCAAACCUUGUCCAUAGCGUCUAACAGCAACAGUACUAGAGGACUCCAAACAGUUAAAGCAUCUUUCUAAAUGACCUUACUGUGAGAAGGUUUGGCUUAUUAUCUUAUGGGUAAUAAAGGUCAGUUCUUUAUCCAUAAAUACAAUAUGUGCGCCCAACAUCAUCUGGCUGCAUAGAGGGCCAUUCAGACUGCAAAGUCACCAUUGUUUGCCAUUGUGUCAUUGGGGCACCGUAUGGACAUAGGAAUGUCCCCCACUUUAUGUUAUGGAAUAUAUCACCAUCACCCGCCAGCAUGGGUGGGGACAGGGUGCUGGACAAUGAUCUAUCCACACAUUACUUAUCUAAAAGUCCCCCUCCUAAUGCACAUUGGUGGGCCAAGUUGCUAGUUUUAAAAAGUUCAUAGAUAUGCCUCCACUGUCACACUAAGGCUUUUUAUUUACAUUAAAAAAAAAAAAACUUUUUUAGUGUGGCUAGCAAGUACUGACCAGUCGCCACAUAGUUAAAGGGUCAAUAUAGUCACCAGAACAACUACAGCUUAAUGUAGUUCUGGUGUCUACAGCCUGUCCCUGCAGGCUUUUUAAUGUAAUCACUACCUUUUCAGAGAAAAAGCAGUGUUUACAUUGCUGGCUAGUAACACCUCUAAUGGCCGUCACUCAGAGAGCCACGAGAGGUGCUUUCUGGGUCAGUGCUGCAUUUUACUGACAGUCAUUUUACCACUAUAGUGUCAGGAAUUCAUAUUUGUGUUCCUGACACUACAGUGUUUCUUUAAGCAAAUUAAAGGAACAUUCUGGUCACCAUAACAACUUCCUCUAAAUGAAAUUGCUAUGAUGCCAGGAAGCCCCUGGGUGAUCUCUUUCCUUUAACCCCUUAAGGACCAAACCUCUGGAAUAAAAGGGAAUCAUGACAUGUCACACAUGUCAUGUGUCCUUAAGGGGUUAAGGGGUUAAACCGCUCUCACCACUGGAAUUUUUUUACACUUGCAUAAAAGUGAAUGACAUUAUUAUAAAAUGACAGGAGGCUUCACAGUUUGCUUAAGUCUUUCUUUACUUAAGCUCCACAGUAGCACUUUUUAACAUAGUAACAGGAUAACCAAUCAGAAAAAUGUAACAGGUUACACCAGUACAGGUCAGAGUGCCACUGUCUCCUACUCUCUGUGGGUUACUGUGGUUUAUGUAUUUCUUUAAUUCGUUUUUCUAUUUUGUAUAUUCUAUUUAGUUAAUUGUGUUACUUAUUUUUUGAGGAAUAGCUGUAUUGCAUAUAUAUAUACACAGUAUAUUACUUCAGCUUCCCUCUCUUUUUCUCUUUUCUGUAUUAUAUAUAUUUUUACCUUUUCCUUCACUCUUACUUCCAAAUAUUUUAUCUAUAUCUUCUAACUAUCUAUUGUAUUUUUACUUUCCCUUUUUCCUUUUCUACCUGUCACCCGGGUCGCGGCUGGCAUAUUGCUGCCCUGGUUUUGCCGGGCUUUCUGGGGCCGCGGGGAAUGCCUCCGACGGCCCCUUACAUCGCACGAUGGCCAUCUUGGAUCUCGCGCACUACUGCUAGAUCCAGGCGGCCAUUACAGCUCUCGUGCACCUGCGCGAGAUCGCGGCGCCCAUUUUGUGGAAGACGCAAUCUGUGCACAUACUGGCCUUGCGGCGGCCAUCUUGGUGUAACGCGACAUUCCGGCACUGCAAAUUUAUUCCCUGUAAACCCUGUAAGACUUACUUAAAGUAUCUUACACUAGGGUUUGCUCUAAUGUGGUGGGAUGUAGAGAUGGUGUUACAUGCAUCUUUCAGAAUACAUAUUACAUACAGUUUGGUGGCAUGCCUUUAGAAGUCCAAUCCGUGGAUUAAUCCUGUUUCAACUCUGUUCUCUCGUUUCAGUUUAAACGUUUCAAGAUGUCAAGCUUAGUUCCUGUUCCUCUCAAGUGUGAACUCUUCUCGUCUUGUAUGCUGAGAUCUUCUUAUAGUUCUUCUGCGGUUUUCUGUUACUUGUUCGUUUCGCAGCCAGAAAGAGGAAGUGACAUCAGUGGGAGGGAGUUUUGUAACCUGUUACUUUUUUCUGAUUGGUUAUCCUGUUACUAUGUUAAAAAGUGCUGUUGUGGAGCUUAUGUAAAGAUGACUUAAG